AGAGCGAACGCUGGCGGCAGGCCUAACACAUGCAAGUCGAGCGCCCGUAGCAAUACGGGAGCGGCAGACGGGAUAGUAACACGUGGGAACGCGCCCUUCGGUUCGGAAUAACUCAGGGAAACUUGAGCUAAUACCGAAUACGCCCUUACGGGGAAAGAUUUAUUGCCGAAGGAACGGCCCGCGUCCGAUUAGCUAGUUGGUGAGGUAAUGGCUCACCAAGGCUACGAUCGGUAGCUGGUCUGAGAGGAUGACCAGCAUCACUGGGACUGAGACACGGCCCAGACUCCUACGGGAGGCAGCAGUGGGGAAUAUUGGACAAUGGGCGCAAGCCUGAUCCAGCCAUGCCGCGUGGAUGAUGAGGCCUUAGGGUUGUAAGUCUUUUAACGGGAAGAUAAUGACGGUACCGUAGAAUAAGCCCGGCUAACUUCGUGCCAGCAGCCGC
rnacentral:rRNA from 1 species